UAUAGAAGUAAACAUAGCGCUACAAUAAUGCAUGACAAGAACUUGUCAAUACAGAAAUAUUAUAUAUAUAUAUAUAUAUAUAUCUCUGUGUGUGUGUGUGUGUGUGUGUGUGUGUGUGUGGAGCUGCCUCACUAUAU
rnacentral:sRNA from 1 species